GUGGCCUCGGGCCGACUACAGAAAACCAUUUCUGUUGGCUGAGUGAGAGCUAAUAGACCUGCUCUGGGUGAUAGUGUCCUUAUGGACUAAGAGAGGAGUUAGGUAUGUCCAUUUCAGUAUCCCAUGUUGAGGUCUGAAGGUCGGCAGUCUUUCCUCAUUCAGAUUUUUUGUUGGUGAGAUUUCCCUAAAUCUGAAGAGAUACGGCAACAGUGCACCAGUAAAACCGAGGAGAGCUGUGCAAUGCAGUUAGACUAUUUUCUUUUACUGGACGUCAGGCGCAAGGAGUCGGAGGGCCCACACUCCAGUACAUGAACCUCUCCCUGCUGUGGAACAGAUCAAUAGACUCCACAUUCAUGGCUGAGAGAUCGGAGGGAGGAGAUGAACACGUCCGCAUGUCUCAGGGCUCAGAAGGAGAUAAAACACGUCCGUACUGAUCAAUGAACUAUUCCUGGAACUUUUGUAUCCUCUCAUGUUUCUACAUUUUUUUUAAAAUACCAAGAACAGUAUUAAAACCAGGUGUAUUUUGAAUUAUGAUUUCUUAAAGUUUAGGAUCUCUUCUGAAAUGUUUUCUUAUUUUAUCCCCAAUAGUUUUACAGUGAAAAUUGAUUGAGUGCCUAGUAUAUUUGUAUGUAUAUUAUUUAUUUCAUUGCUUAUUUAUUUCAUUAUCAAUAUAUUUAAUUUUGUCACAUUUGGCCUUGCUUAUAACAGUACUGGUAAAACAGUGGGCAUGGGGACCAGGUUCUGUUCUCGGAAGGAGGGUUUAAUCUGAGGAACAGAAGCUGACAGCUGUAUGGAUUGGAGGAGGAUAGUUGCGAGGGCCUAUUACUGAUUUUUUUCAAUGCCGUGGAAAGCAUCCCUCUGUCCUCCU